GCGUAGGAAUCUACCUAGUAGUACGGAAUAGCCAUUAGAAAUGGUGGGUAAUACUGUAUAAUCCCCGAGGGGGAAAGAUUUAUCGCUAUUAGAUGAGCCUACGUUAGAUUAGCUAGUUGGUGAGGUAAUGGCUUACCAAGGCUAUGAUCUAUAGCUGGUCUGAGAGGACGAUCAGCCACACUGGAACUGAGAUACGGUCCAGACUCCUACGGGAGGCAGCAGUGGGGAAUAUUGGACAAUGGGCGAAAGCCUGAUCCAGCUAUGCCGCGUGAGUGAAGAAGGCCUUCGGGUUGUAAAACUCUUUCAAUAGGGAAGAUAAUGACGGUACCUAUAGAAAAAG
rnacentral:rRNA from 1 species